GAGAACUUCGGGAGGCGGGGGAGGAAAGCGGCCGGCGAGCGCUGGCUGACAUUUUCCUGCCCGGAAGGAUGCAUGGCCCGGGGUCUCCUGCACCUGAGGGUGGGCGGGAGGCGGCCCCGCGGGUUGUGUUGCUGGAAAAAGGGGUCUCGAUCCAGACCCCAAGAGAGGGUUCUUGGGUCUACUUCAGGGAAGAAUUGGAGGCGAGUCACAGAGCGCAGUGAAGGAAGCAAGUUUAUUGGAAUCUACUCCGUUAGAGAGUGCAAGUCCUCAGACUGCAGGAGGAGGAACUCCCGUCCUUCGGUAGUGUCACUACUUAGAGGCAGCUGUGAGGAGCUGUGAUUAAUCGUGGAAUGUGCUGAUGUGCCCACUAAAGAUGCCUGGUAAGCAGUGGCUCCUCUAACAAGUGGGCAGCUUGGAACUGGGAACGAGAGAGCCACCGAAACAGAAUGAGGGAGACAAAGAAGUGGGCAUCACCCUUAACUCCACAAGGGCUUCCCAAGGGCGCUGUACCGUACGCAGGCCCAGGACGAACUUUAUUUCUCGCCCCAGCAUCGCUGUCCUUGUCGGUGAGACCCUGGCUUUAGGGCAGACAGGACCACGUUUCAUAAGUUCAUGCUGUCCCAGCAGAGGAAUAACGCCAGAAAGUGUUCCAGUACAACCAGAGAAAGAGAGUCCAUGAGAAAUCUGCCCUUGUGAAGUUGGAAUCCCCUCAACCUCACCCCGCUGACUUGAAUGAAGCGACUGAGACGGGCUAUGAUGGAGCAGAUCCGGUUGCUCGACCUUCUCCCUUGCACCAACACAUGUAGUUAAUAGUUACUGGACAUGCAUAUUCAGUGGGUUCCAGGUACCAAACUUGUAUUGAAUGGUAUGUGCCAGACACCGUCUUGAGAUCUGGAGAAUAAAAAAAUAAAAAAAUAAAAACGAGACAUCCAGAGCACAGUA